UAUCUCGUUUGUUGCGAUCAUGAAUGG
rnacentral:piRNA from 1 species